CCCAGGUCAGUGAUACAACUAUGCUGAACAAUUGCUACUGCACAAUUGAAUAUCCUGCUCUAUACUUCCUGCAUCAUCUGUGGUCAUUCACAAUUGUCACUUCCUUUAGUUCCUUUUCUUUAUUCUUCAAUAUCUAUGAACCCUACUGUUGUUGGGGGAGAGGAGGCUGCACAGAGACAAGACUGACAUCACAAGAGCCCUCGAAGCCUUCUUGGAAUCAUAUGGAAUCCUUAGGUGGUGAUUUGGAAAGUACUGCUAGAAGCAUCUCUCAUCACUUCUAAAAGGAGAGUGCUGAAGCCAGGAAACUGCUCCCUCAGUGAGAAUUUGAGGAAGAAACCACUUGAAUCACAUAUGAAACAUUCAGCCCAAUCAAAGCAACCUUCAAGAGCUGAAAAGUAACCACAGCUUUGAGAGUCCAUGCAAAUGUUUCUGGUAUAUUCCUGGGAACUGUGGAGAAAUGAAACAUGAAAGACAGGACAAAGUCCCUUCUCUCAAAGGGCUUUAUUCUAGAGCACACAGGAUAACAAUUGCAUGAAACCAAGGACAGACGUCUCCCUACAUUCGUCAGGUGGUUAGCUCCUGAAUUGAACCAAAUACCAAAGUCUCUGAUUAGAGGUAACUGGUUUCCUUCCUGACACUGAAAAUGUCAAAAGAUUCUUUGAAGUUUCUUGCUGGAACUUAUUUUUAAAUAUCCUCAGUCUUUUGUUUUAUAUUCAUAAGCAAAUUGAUUUCUUCACUCCUGAUUCUAUCUUACCAAUUUUUAAAUUAUUUAUAGUUACCUGUUACAAUUAACAAGAAAAUUGCACCUGAUCUAGUCAUAAUUUUACGGAAAACUUUGUUUCAUCAUUCUAUGAUCUUCUAACUAAAUUGCAAAAUUUAAAUUGGUCAUAAAAUGUUUUUUUAUCUUGAAGAAGUUUAGAAAGAAGAAGCAUGUAUGAAGAAGCUACUGAUACUUUAUCUUUUCUUUUCAGAUAGAGUGAUCAUGUAUAUACAAUUUUUAUCCUGUGCAACUCCAACGAUAAAAUUCCUAGGUUUGAUAGGGAUUUGGGAAGAAAUAGUGGAUAAGACUUACAGUCAUUUGGGAUUUAAUUAAGUCACAUUUUCAGCAGGUGUUCUAAAUAAAUACAAUAACAGUAAUAAAUGUAAUUAGCAUGCAAGAUAGUGCCUGACUAGAGGCGGUAAACAUUAGAUAGGGUUUGAAUAAAGGACUAUAAACUCAGUAUCACAGAACUUUAGAUAGGAAAGUUACCUAAAAAAUGUUCUAGUCCAAUUCCUGAGUUUUACAAGUGAGAAAAUUCAGUUUCAGGGGAAGAAACUGUUUCAGGUUAAACGGUCUGUUAGUGGCAUAGUUGAGGCAACAUUUUAUGUCUUCUACUUCUGAUUCACUACCUUUAGCCUCUGUUUUUUCUAAAUGCGCCAACUGAAAAACAAAAGUGACUACAUGUAUUGAACUAUCCAUAUAAUUAUUAAUUUAAAUAGUACAAGUUAAACCUUGAUCUACAAAGUUAUACCUGAACAUAUUUUGAAUAGUGUUGUGAAUUUUGUAGAUCAUGUUCAAUUAUUUAUCACUUACUCAAAACUUGUUUCUGUUGUACAAGCCAAGUUAUGACAAUAUAGAAAGUAGAAAAAGAAAUGAAGAACAUCCACAAUUUCUACCAUUACAGUACACACUAUGCAGUUUUUACUCCUAGUACUUAUUCAUGCUUACAUAUUUUCUGAAGUUGUAAUGAUGAGGUAAUAUGAUCUUUGUUAUGUUUUAUUUAAUUAACAUUAUAUCAUGACAUUUUCAUGUUAUUACAUAAUGUUCAUAAUGACUACUUUAGCAACUGCAUAGUAUUUCAUUGACUUGCUUUAAUAUUUAUUCAGCCAUUUCCCUCUUGUUGAACAAUUAAGUCACCUCCAAUGUAACUAUUAAUAACACUGCAGUGAAUUUCUUCAUUCACAUUGCUUGUGUAUGUUGUUUUUCUUUAAAUUAUUUUUCUGUGGGUAAAUUAUAAACUAUUGAAUUUUAACUGGAUA